rnacentral:rRNA from 1 species
AGUACCGAUUGGAAACGAUCGUUAAUACCGCAUAAUAUAAUUGAACCGCAUGAUUUGAUUAUCAAAGAUUUAUCGCUGAAAGAUGAGCUCGCGUCUGAUUAGCUAGUUGGUAAGGUAACGGCUUACCAAGGCGACGAUCAGUAGCCGGACUGAGAGGUUGAUCGGCCACAUUGGGACUGAGACACGGCCCAGACUCCUACGGGAGGCAGCAUG